GAUCGUUUUAAAUAAAGACAGUGACUUUUUAUUUCGCAAUCAACACCAGUGAAAUAAUUCCUAAUUUACUUUGCUGUCCCGUUUUUGUGCAUUGCGUUUCACCAAUUACUUGUGCGUCGCCUUGUUGUUGUUGUUGCAGUUGCUCUCCAAACGUUUACUGCUGAACAACCACAACCACACGCACCUGAUAUUCCCGGUGUAGAGCUUUGACAAAAAGUUUUAACUGCGCUCUUCGCUUAUUGUUUUAAUCGGCUCUCCGCUGCAAAUAUAUAUAUUUUUUAUACCGAUCUUGUCCAAUCUACAUAUAUAAGCAAUUUUCAUGAUGAGUUUAUGUUGUGCAACUUCCUGAGCUCACAACAAUAAAAAACCUUCCCGUCAACCUUUAAUUUGUUGUUGGAUUUGCGAUAACGUGGCGCAACCUAGCUGGGUUGAGUUGGGGCGUGUGGACGUGUCCGAGCUGCAGGCACAUCGAAGUCGACAUGAAAUCGUUGAUGUGGCAAACUUAGAUUUCAUGGCCUUUCAUCUGGAUUUCGCGAGCCUCGCGAUUAAACCAAAAGAGACGAAAAACUGUACGACUCCAACGUAGUUCCUCCCCCUCCUCCUUAACGGAAGUUGGUGCGGGCAAGAGGCAGGAUGCAGCAUCAACUUUACCGACUGUUGCCUUGGCGACGGCUCUGGGUGCUCUUCAUCCACGUCCACUAAUUGUACCGCAGCCUGCUUUAACCAACUCACCUGGACCAACUUUGUCAGCAAUGUCUGGAGUUGCGCCCAGGAAAUCGGCGCCAUUAGUUGGCGUUGCACAUAAAAGGAUCAUUUUUGUUGAUGUUAAGGAUGUUGACCAACAAAGUAAACGGUUCCGCAUUUAAGUUCAGUUUCAGAUGUCUUCGUUUAAGGUUGGAAUUUCUGAAGUACAUAUUAAUAAAUUCCUCGAUAUUUCAAUCUG